rnacentral:rRNA from 1 species
AAUGAACGCUGGCGGCGUGCCUAACACAUGCAAGUCGAGCGAGAAAGUCCCCCUUCGGGGGGGCGAGUAAAGCGGCGCACGGGUGAGUAACGCGUGGGUAACCUGCCCUUGAGUGGGGGAUAACCAGCCGAAAGGCUGACUAAUCCCGCAUACGACCGGCAGACACAAGUCUGUCGGGGAAAGAUGGCCUCUGCUUGCAAGCUAUCGCUCUUGGAUGGGCCCGCGUUGGAUUAGCUAGUUGGUGGGGUAACGGCCUACCAAGGCUGCGAUCCAUAGCCGGCCUGAGAGGGUGGACGGCCACACUGGGACUGAGACACGGCCCAGACUCCUACGGGAGGCAGCAGGUGGGGAAUAUUGCGCAAGUCGGGGGAAACCCUGACGCAGCGACGCCGCGUGAGCGAAGAAGGCCUUAGGGUCGUAAAGCUCUGUUUUAAGGGACGAAGAGCUACCUGGUGAAUAAGUCGGGUAGAGUGACGGUACCUUAAGAGAACGCCCCGCUAACUACGUGCCAGCAGCCGUAC